AGCAGUGAACCCCAAUUAGCGGCCCGCGGGCCAGAUCCGGCCCGCAAGAGCAAAAUGUCCGGCCCGCGCAGACCCACAUGUCACAUGUCAUCUCCAAAAAAAAAAAAAAAAAAUUUUUUUUUUUUUUUUUUUUUAUUUGCGCGGUCUGCUAUAUUUUCCCCUCAGCCCACACCAUCCACUUGACCGUUGACGUUACUGCGUGCUGACGUAAUAACGUGCUUCGUGCGUCACUUUCCCGCUAUCCAAAAAUCAACGGAUUGAAAAUUGAUGAAAGAAACAUGUCAUUUGCCAUGAAAAGGAAGGUCAACCAGGAGAACCGCCAGUUUAAAACUGAAUGGACCGAUGAGUAUUGCUUUUCUUUACCGGACCAUGCCAACGCAAAGCCGACAUGCUUAAUAUGCAAGCAGAGGGUGGCUGUCAUUAAAUCGGACAACCUGACACAAACUGUUUGCAUGCUGCCAGCUUUAAUGGAAGUUUCCCAGAAAAAUCUGAGCAACGCAAACCAAAGAUUGCAAGCAUGUUGACAUCAUACAAGCGGUCAGUUUUAACCAUAUGCAAAACGGCAUCGGCACAAGAGAGCGCAACAGCUGCUUCAUUGCAUGUUUUCUGGAUGCUUGAUAAAGCUAAGAAGCCCUUUGCUGAUGCAGAGUUCAUUAAACAAUGUGCAAUUCACAUGGCUGGUGAAAUCUUAAAUCAAGAGGAAAAAAUCUAAACAAAAGUUGUGGAGCUAUGAAAGCAGGUGCCGAGGAAAUGUCAGCUGAACACAAAGAUCUGUUGCUGCACAACGAUGUUCGCUGGCUGAGUAAAGGCCGUGUGUUGGAGAGGGUGUGCGACCUGCGUGAUGAACGUGUGUCAUUUUUAUCCAGCCUGCAGAGCCCAAAAGCCCGCGAAUUUCUGGCGGGCUGACGCCAAGGUGUUGGCAGAUGUUAAUUUUUUGUGACAUCAUGUCUCAUCUGAAUCACCUUAACCUGCAGCUACAAGGCAAGAACCACACUGUUGCUGACAUGUACGAAGCGAUUGAAGCCCUCCAGUCGAAGCUGGAUGCUAUUUAAACCUAAUUGAUCUAGCCCUCCUGCAUUAUCGCAAAAACAGUAAUUAUAAUUAAAGCUAAAUUUGCACAUAAAAAUGGCGAAUUAGAAAAAUGAAACGACAUUUCGGCCCUUGGCAUGGCAUGUUUGACCAAAUUUGGCCCUCUGGAAAAACUAAUUGGGGAACCCUGCCCUAGAGCUAUGCUCUUGGAUCUAUGUGCUGAACUGGGUCCAGGAUUGGAAAGGGCAACACGUAGGAACCACGCAAUCCCGGUGCAGACGCAGGUCCUCAACACUUUGGGGUUCCUGGCAACCGGCUGUUUCAAACGGGAAUUGGCAGACAGAUCCGGUAGGCCUAUAUCACAGCCAUCCCUCAGUGCCCUAAUGCCCAGCGUUUUGAAUGGCAUCAUACAUAUGGGCAGUCGAUACAUAAGGUUUCCCUACACAGUGGAAGAACAGGCCGAGAUUAAAAGGCAAUUUGCAGCAAUGUCUGAUUUCCCAAACGUAAUCGGCGCAAUUGACUGCACUCAUAUUGCUAUAAGGGCUCCAUCUGAACAUGAGUUCGCUUACGUCAACCGCAAGCACGUGCACACUAUUAAUGUUCAAGUUGUAUGUGAUUCCCAUAUGAACUUGACAAACAUAGUGGCACGUUGGCCUGGUGCAACACAUGAUUCCUUUAUUCUGACGCACAAUAGUGUAGGGAACAGACUACAGGCAGGCGCGGGGCGGGAUGGCUGGCUUCUAGGGGACAGUGGAUACCCCCUGAGACGCUGGCUCCGUCCUCACCCCAGUUUUGAACGCGCAAAGCGCCGAGGAACAACGAUAUAAUGAGGUCCAUGGCCGUGCUCGUUCAGUGGUGGAGCGCGCCAUCGGCCUCCUGAAGUGCCGGUGGCGCGCUCUGGAUGCGUCGGGGGGAGGCUUUUAUACCAGCCUGCCAAAGUGUGCCGCAUUAUAAGGGCUUGUGGCGUGCUGCACAAUUUGUCCCAGAGGAACGGCAUCCCUCUCCCCCCCGACCUCCCUCCCCCCGAGCUUGACCCGGAGGCCCAGCCCCCUCCGAGGCAAGUCGGAUUUCAACAGGGUGCAAGAGUAGGCCUACGUGCGGAUGACAUGCGGCGUUUAUGAAAUGUAGACGACUCAAGCUGCAGAACUGCGUCUGUGAGGACCCGACCAGCGGACUGACGCUUGGUGCUGGGGCUGGGGGCAGCCGGAUGACCAGCGGCCGAGGGCCCCUCGCCGGCAUCAUCGUCCUCCUCCCCAACGACCGCUGACUCUGGAGGACGCACAAGCAAAAUAGCUUGCACUAGGCCUAGCCUACAUGAUCGAUAAUAAAUCAAUAAAAAACAAAUCAGCUUUACCUUGUUCUUCUGUGUUGUC